AAUUAUCUCUGUCUCACUACCGUGUCUCUCUCUCUCUCUCAAAAUCUAGGGUCCCACUGCAUUGUGAAUUUCACCCGAUUGAAGUACUUCUCUGGUGUAGCUCCGACCUCAUCUUCCUUAGAUGGCCAUCCCGUCUUCGAGAUCUGUCUGCAGACGUUUUUGUAGCCAAUUGAAGCUAAAGCAGAGUGAAAGGGAACCAAAUCAGAGGUCUACAAAGAGACACAUAAGAAGAAAAAGGAUGCUACAAGAGGAGAUUGGGUCGGAACGUGUGCUAAGAAUGCAUAUGAAGAAUUUCAAAAAAGCAUAGAAAAUUGGCGUCAAACCCAAAAUACUUCAGAGGAUGGUACCAUGGUCAAACCAUCACCUACAGAUAUGACUAAUAUGUAGACAGAUGUGGUAGGUGGUUCAAAGAAAGGUAGAACCUACGGUACAGGGGUUAUCCAAUCCUUGAGUAGUCCUUCGUUGUUUUCCAGUUCCUUUUCUACUUUGCAAACCAUGGAAGAAAUGAAAGCGAUGAAAAAGUAAAUUGUGGAAUUGAUGCAACAAUGUGCAGCUAACGAUGCUAAGUUUGCUAAAUUUGAGGAGUUGGUUAAGAAGCACAUGCCUCAAGUAUUUCAUGAUGAGGAAGAGAUGAAUCUAAUGAGAAUUAGAUUGUAGUUAUUGUUCUUGUUUUUGGUUAUGACAUUUAGAUAUUUAAACUAUUUGAUUUGAUGUUUGUUUUGGAUGUUUUAAAGUGGUUACAUUUAUAAAUUUUUGUUGUUGUCGUGUUU